rnacentral:rRNA from 1 species
UGAUUUACAUUUGAGUGAGUGGCGAACUGGUGAGUAACACGUGGGAAACCUGCCCAGAAGCGGGGGAUAACACCUGGAAACAGAUGCUAAUACCGCAUAACAACUUGGACCGCAUGGUCCGAGUUUGAAAGAUGGCUUCGGCUAUCACUUUUGGAUGGUCCCGCGGCGUAUUAGCUAGAUGGUGAGGUAACGGCUCACCAUGGCAAUGAUACGUAGCCGACCUGAGAGGGUAAUCGGCCACAUUGGGACUGAGACACGGCCCAAACUCCUACGGGAGGCAGCAGUAGGGAAUCUUCCACAAUGGACGAAAGUCUGAUGGAGCAACGCCGCGUGAGUGAAGAAGGGUUUCGGCUCGUAAAACUCUGUUGUUAAAGAAGAACAUAUCUGAGAGUAACUGUUCAGGUAUUGACGGUAUUUAACCAGAAAGCCACGGCUAACUACGUGCCAGCAGCCGCGGUAAUACGUAGGUGGCAAGCGUUGUCCGGAUUUAUUGGGCGUAAAGCGAGCGCAGGCGGUUUUUUAAGUCUGAUGUGAAAGCCUUCGGCUCAACCGAAGAAGUGCAUCGGAAACUGGGGAACUUGAGUGCAGAAGAGGACAGUGGAACUCCAUGUGUAGCGGUGAAAUGCGUAGAUAUAUGGAAGAACACCAGUGGGCGAAGGCGGCUGUCUGGGUCUGUAACUGACGCUUGAGGCUCGAAAGUAUGGGUUAGCAAACAAGGAAUAGAUACCCUGGUAGUCC